GAUGAACGCUAGCGGGAGGCCUAACACAUGCAAGCCGAGCGGUAUUGUUUCUUCGGAAAUGAGAGAGCGGCGUACGGGUGCGGAACACGUGUGCAACCUGCCUUUAUCUGGGGGAUAGCCUUUCGAAAGGAAGAUUAAUACUCCAUAAUAUAUUGAACGGCAUCGUUUGAUAUUGAAAGCUCCGGCGGAUAGAGAUGGGCACGCGCAAGAUUAGCUAGUUGGUGAGGUAACGGCUCACCAAGGCGAUGAUCUUUAGGGGCUCUGAGAGGAGUAACCCCCACACUGGCACUGAGAUACGGGCCAGACUCCUACGGAGGCAGCAGUAGGAUAUGGGCAAUGGAGGCAACUCUGACCCAGCCAUGCCGCGUGCAGGAAGACGGCCCUC
rnacentral:rRNA from 1 species